CUAAACAGCCCCCGUCUUCCAGCGCGCUCACAGCCCGCCGGCGAGUGGGGGAAGGUGUCCUUAGUAAGGUUAGGAUAGGAUGGCAGGCGUGAUGGUGGGAAUGUGGCAGAGGGUUAGUGGUUGUCUGCAGAUAUGGGAGCCACUGCUAUGUGUUCAAUGCACUAAGGAUGCAACGACGAACAGGACAGACAUGGCCCUGCCUUCAAGGAAAAAGACUGUGAAGGAGGAAGGAAAUAAGGAGAGACGAAAUCUGGGCUGCAAUUUAAUUACAGAACUGAGCCUUGGAACAUUUCAGGCCUGGCACGGAAUGCAGUUUUUACACAACUUGAGGCAUGAGGAGGUGAGAGAUGGAAAGAAUGCUGUCUGUCAUUUGGAGUCAGAAGGAAAAGAAGGUUGAGGGUC
rnacentral:lncRNA from 1 species